rnacentral:lncRNA from 1 species
GGGGUUUUUUGUUUUGGUUUUGUUUUGGGGUUUUUGUUUUGUUUAGUUUGAUACAGAAGUAUCCUCGUGUCCUUCACCCAUUUGGAGAGCUAUUUCAGGUGUCGAGGGUAGUCAACUGCGGAAGGAGAGCACCUCAGGUGAGAGAAACCCUGAGAAUCUGAGGGUUCCAAGUUCUCAGCCUCAAUAGGGUCCUCCCACACGCCUCCAUCCAAGUUACAGAAUCCCAGCCCUUGACAAUGCUCUUAAAUUGCCAGCACCCUUUGAGGCUGGGACUUAAUUUUUUUUUUUUCUUUUUUAAUUCAGCCAGUCCUGCAACUUGAACUCUGUGGCUGCUGUAAAGAUUGUCUUCCAGGCACACUUAGAGUCCUUGUAGACUGUUGAUGUGCACAUGGAGCGGGUCAGCUGUAUCACUAGGUUCCCUGUUGUUCUUUGCAGUAUUCUGAGAUGUUAGAAGUCGGUUAAUUGUUUAUCAGUGCAUUCUUUUCCUUCCCCAGUGUAUCCAGAGAUAAGGAGCAACCAACCAGAAUCAUCAUUUCCCCCCACAAGUCUGUGCCAAUUCCAUUGUCUCUCACAAUAGUCUCGGGAUAAUCACAGGCAUUUAUUGCCUUAGUAAAUAUUCACACCAUGGGCUUUCACUGCUCUCCAGGCUCCAAAGAGAGGCAUCACCAAGUGGAGAGAUUUCGGUAACUGUAGGUGUCGGCAAAUUGGAAAGCCUAUUCCAGAUACCUAAAAAAUUCAUCCUUAUACUUCCAUUGCUCCAGAACCACUUCUGGUACCAACAUGUGUAUUGGGUUCUCUAGAGGAACAGAACUAAGUGUGUGUGUGUGUGUGAAGGAGACUUAUUAAAGUGGCUCACAGGCUAUGAUCCAGCAAGUCCAGCAAUGGCUGUCUACCCAAGAAUCCAGCAGUUUAGUUCACGAGGCUGCAUGUCUCAGCCAACCUUCUAUUAUGUUGAAAUCCUGAAGGAAUCGGCUCUAAUGCCAGUGAGGGAAGGGACUUGCCAGUAAGAGUGAGGGCUGUCACCAGGAAUGUGGCCCAGAGUGAAAAUGUGGCCCCACCUUAAAAGAUCUGGAUCAAAGGUGGCUUUUUCACCUCAAAAGAUCUGGAUUAAAAGUGAGUCUUCCCACUUCAAACUAUUUAAUUAAAACAGUCCCUCACAUGUGUACAUGUCUGCUUUACUUUUAGUUAACUACAGACUUAGUCAGUUGACAACCAAGAAUAGCCAUCAGAGCCUCCUAUAACCCACACUGACUUCAUGGCUGCGCAGAGCUGGAAAGGUAGCUCAGCAGUUCAGAGCUCAUACCGGCUUCCUUGACUGGUGGUCAGACCUUGGCCCGUGGAUUAGGCAAUUGACAAACACCUAUAACAACAGCUUCACAGGACCUAAUGCCCUCUCCUGCUCUCUGUGGGUACACACAGAUGCACACAUAAAUCUUUUUUUUUUUUUUUUUUUGGUUCUUUUUUUCGGAGCUGGGGACCGAACCCAGGGCCUUGCGCUUCCUAGGUAAGCGCUCUACCACUGAGCUAAAUCCCCAGCCCCCACAUAAAUCUUAAUUAAAAAAAAAAAUACCCUCUUAAUAAGAUGACCUUGAAUGUCUGGUCCUCCUGCCCUGUACAUCCUGAGAGCUGGGAUUACAGACGUAAACCAUCACCUGGUUUAUUCAGUGCUAAGUGAUGGACCCAAUUCCUGUGUAAUAGGCAAGUUGACUCCAUCAACUGAGGUUGUCACCAGCUUCAUAGAUUUUUGGGACAGUUGAGAAAUGGGGCAAAUAUUCAUUAGUCUAAGCUAAAAAGUACUCACUAGUAGAAGGGAAGAUUUAUGUGGCAAAAUGGUACGCAACCUAAUAGAGAUGAGUGUGUAGUUACAGGAGAGCAAGUGCUAAGCUCUAACAGCAAAUGGGUGAAGGAUGCAAAGCCCAGGUGGGCGCUGGGAAUCGGGAAGGUUUUCUGAGAAGUGUUCUUAGUAGAUCAGAGUGGUCUGGAAAGUACAGCUCGCAUCCUGUCGCCUGCUGCUGCUUUACAACAGUGAGUGCCGUCUUGCCCUUGGUGUCUUUCAGUGCUGAGGAUGGGAUGUGCUCUUGCACAUUUACAUCAGCAAAGCUGAAAAUACUUAAUCUUUUACUGAGAUGAAAUCUUUUACUAAAUGUAAAAGUGAGAGAACAAGAAAAGAAGGGAAUGGAGUUGGUGGUUUUUAAUUUUUAAUUUGGUGAAGCCAGUGAGGUGGUCUUGUAGGUAAAGGUGUUUGCCGCUGACCCUGGCCUGGGCUAGAUCCCCAGAAGCAUGAGGGUGGAGGGAGAAAACAGCUCCAUGAGGCCCCUGACGUACACACACACACACACACACACACACACACACACACACGCAGGAACAGAGCUCUCUCCAGUAGAUUUGAAAAAUCACAACACUUUGUAUUGUCCAAAUAAAUCCAUAUCCAAUUUACAUUUCCCCAAGAAAAUGCUGUUUUAAAAAAGGAUUUAUGUGCAUUUAUUUGUGUGUGGGUCUGUGCUCAGGUGCAGGUGUCUGUGUGUGUGUCUGUGUGUGUCUGAGUAUCUGGGUGGGUCUCUCUCUGCACAGGUGUAGGUGUCUGGGUGUUGCUCUGUGCACAGCUGUAUGUGUGUGUGUGUGUGCACCGAUAAGGGUGUCUCCUGAAUAUUUUUCAUCUAGACCUGGAUUCCUCCCAAGACUGCAUUGUUAUUGCUUCUCCUUUACUCAUUUGGAUUUCUUGAGUAACCUUUGAGAUUUGGUCAGUUACCUUUAUUUCCAAUGCAACAUGAUCACAUGACAACUUGUGGAGUUGUGGGAUUGAACUGAAGUGACCAGGCAUAGUGGCAGUCACUUUUGCCCCAAGCCAUUCUACAAGCCUCAUACAAGCCCCCCCCCCUUCUCCCCCCUUCCUCCCCCUUCUUUUUUUUUCCCUUUUUUGACACAGUGUUUCUUUCGUGUGGCCCAGGCUGUCCUUGAAUCCCUUCUUCUGCUAUCAUUUUUACCCAGUUCUGGAGUGGCAGUGUGGCCCUUUGUACCACAGUUGUAAGUUUUUGUCUUUUGUUUAGGCAGGGUCUUGCUCUGAGUUGAGCCUGGCCUCUGCCUGUCUCAGUCUCCUUCAUGUGUGCAUGCGGCCAAACACGACUUCUGCUUCACAAAGCUGGGAUUGCUCUUGCAGCCGAGCUCUGUCCCUGGGUCCCCUUUAAAAGUUGUCUGGGCAGGCCUUGAACUUGUGAUCCAGCCCCCUGAGCCUCUGAGGGGGCCUGGCCCAGUAGCAUCCUUUAACUAGUUCUGUUUUAUUAAGCAAGAGUUUUAAUUGAGGUUAACAGGUUCUGAGAAUAGAAGGCAUCAGGGUGGUCUGGAAAGAUGACUCAGCCGUUGCUCUUCCAGAGGCCCUGAGUUCAAAUCCCAGCAACCACAUGGUGGCUCACAGCCAUCUGUAACGAGAUCCGAUGCCCUCUUCUGGUGUGUCUGAAGACAGCUACAAUGUACUCAUAUAUAAUAAAUAAAUCUUAAAAAAAAAAAAAGACAUCAGGAGAGAGCCUCAUUUUGGG